rnacentral:rRNA from 1 species
AUUGAACGCUGGCGGCAGGCCUAACACAUGCAAGUCGAACGGUAACAGGAAGAAGCUUGCUUCUUUGCUGACGAGUGGCGGACGGGUGAGUAAUGUCUGGGAAACUGCCUGAUGGAGGGGGAUAACUACUGGAAACGGUAGCUAAUACCGCAUAACGUCGCAAGACCAAGGAGGGGGACCUUCGGGCCCUUGGCCAUCGGAUGGGCCCAAAUGGGAUUAGCUAGUAGGUGGGGUAACGGCUCACCUAGGCGACGAUCCCUAGCUGGUCUGAGAGGAUGACCAGCCACACUGGAACUGAGACACGGUCCAGACUCCUACGGGAGGCAGCAGUGGGGAAUAUUGCACAAUGGGCGCAAGCCUGAUGCAGCCAUGCCGCGUGUAUGAAGAAGGCCUUCGGGUUGUAAAGUACUUUCAGCGGGGAGGAAGGGAGUAAAGUUAAUACCUUUGCUCAUUGACGUUACCCGCAGAAGAAGCACCGGCUAACUCCGUG